rnacentral:rRNA from 1 species
GUAGGGGUGCAAGCGUUAUCCGGAAUCAUUGGGCGUAAAGAGCUCGUAGGGCGGUUCAGUAAGUCGGGCUGUGAAAUCCCGAGGCUUAACCUCGGAACUGCAGUCGAUACUGCUGUGACUAGAGUCCGGUAGAGGAGAAUGGAAUUCCCGGUGUAGCGGUGAAAUGCGCAGAUAUCGGGAGGAACACCAGUAGCGAAGGCGGUUCUCUGGGCCGGUACUGACGCUGAGGAGCGAAAGCGUGGGUAGCAAACAGGAUUAGAUACCCUGGUAGUCCACGCCGUAAACGUUGGACACUAGGUGUGGCGUUCCGACCAACGGGUGCCGUGCCGAAGCUAACGCAUUAAGUGUCCCGCCUGGGGAGUACGGCCGCAAGGCUA